rnacentral:rRNA from 1 species
AUUGAACGCUGGCGGCAGGCCUAACACAUGCAAGUCGAGCGGGGUUUUCGGACCUAGCGGCGGACGGGUGAGUAAUGCGUAGGAAGCUACCCGAUAGAGGGGGAUACCAGUUGGAAACGACUGUUAAUACCGCAUAAUGUCUACGGACCAAAGUGUGGGACCUUCGGGCCACAUGCUAUCGGAUGUGCCUACGUGGGAUUAGCUAGUUGGUGAGGUAAUGGCUCACCAAGGCGACGAUCCCUAGCUGGUUUGAGAGGAUGAUCAGCCACACUGGAGCUGAGACACGGUCCAGACUCCGACGGGAGGCAGCAGUGGGGAAUAUUGGACAAUGGGCGCAAGCCUGAUCCAGCCAUGCCGCGUGUGUGAAGAAGGCCUUCGGGUUGUAAAGCACUUUCAGCGAGGAGGAAGGGGUGUGUGUUAAUAGUACACACCUUUGACGUUACUCGCAGAAGAAGCACCGGCUAACUCUGUGCCAGCAGCCGCGGUAAUAC